UACGGAGGGUGCGAGCGUUGUCCGGAAUCACUGGGCGUAAAGGGCGCGUAGGCGGCCUGAUAAGUCGGGGGUGAAAUCCUGCGGCUUAACCGCAGGGCUGCCUUCUAAACUGUCGGGCUAGAGCACGGUAGAGGCAGAUGGAAUUCCCGGUGUAGCAGUGGAAUGCGUAGAGAUCGGGAAGAACAUCAGUGGCGAAGGCGGUCUGCUGGGCCGUUGCUGACGCUGAGGCGCGACAGCGUGGGGAGCAAACAGG
rnacentral:rRNA from 1 species